rnacentral:tRNA from 1 species
CCCCGGCUAGCUCAGUCGGUAGAGCGUGAGACUCUUAAUCUCAAGGUCGAGGGUUCAAGCCCCUCGCUGGGAA